rnacentral:rRNA from 1 species
UACGGAGGGGGCUAGCGUUGUUCGGAAUUACUGGGCGUAAAGCGCACGUAGGCGGCUUUGCAAGUUAGAGGUGAAAGCCCGGAGCUUAACUCCGGAAUUGCCUUUAAAACUGCAUCGCUAGAAUUGUGGAGAGGUGAGUGGAAUUCCGAGUGUAGAGGUGAAAUUCGUAGAUAUUCGGAAGAACACCAGUGGCGAAGGCGACUUACUGGACACAUAUUGACGCUGAGGUGCGAAAGCGUGGGGAGCAAACAGG